rnacentral:rRNA from 1 species
GCUUAACGCGAAGAACCUUACCUGGGCUAGAAAGCGCAAGAACCUCGGUGAAAACUGAGGGUGCCCUUUGGGGAACUUGUGAUUAGGUGCUGCAUGGCUGUCGUCAGCUCGUGUCGUGAGAUGUUGGGUUAAGUCCCGCAACGAGCGCAACCCUUGCUGUUAGUUGCCAUCAUUAAGUUGGGCACUCUAACAGGACUGCCGACCUUUAAGUCGGAGGAAGGUGGGGAUGACGUCAAGUCCUCAUGGCCCUUACGUCCAGGGCUACACACGUGCUACAAUGAACGGUACAAAGGGUCGCGAAACCGUGAGGUGGAGCCAAUCCCAAAAAGCCGUUCUCAGUACGGAUAAGAGUCUGCAACUCGACUCUUUGAAGGCGGAAUCGCUAGUAAUCCCUGAUCAGCAUAGCAGGGG